ACCUGUGCACUGGAAAUCCGAUGCCUAAAAAUAUUGAGCAAAUAUCUUAUUGGCUGUUAAAUGAACAAUUUUCAGAUAGUUUUAAAAGAAUACAUGAAAUCAAGACAAGGGAAGGAUUGGCCCUGGUAGAUAUUGUGAGAGAAUUGACAAUGUUUGUCUUUAAGAUUAAGAUGCCUCCAAAUGUCUGAGUACAGUUGAUUAAUGGUUUGGCAGAUAUAGAGUAUGUAUCGUUAUACUAUACUAUUCUUUUGCACAAGUCUGAGAACAAUAUUUAAUUAAUAACCAUAGUCUAACUCUAUUAUAUUAGAUAUG